rnacentral:lncRNA from 1 species
GGGUACAAUCUGAUUUCUGCAAGGAAGGCGGCUCGGCGUGACCACCGUGCCAUGUCCAUGGUGCCACUGACCCUCCACCUGUCUCUUCUUCCGAAGUGCAGUGCCCAUCUCCCCUCUUCCCAGCCAGUUUUGCCUUGUCAUGUAAGCAUUCCUCGACUGCACCUCCAACCCUCAUCCUCCUACCUUUUCUCCUAGGUGUCCUCUAAAUCAUGCUGGAAUGUGCUCCGGGCGGUGCCUUUCAUUCUCCAAUUUGGCUUAACAUUUUUUUGGUGCAGAGGAGGAAGAUGAGUUGGAGGUGCCUGCCUGCUACCCUGGAGCAAUGGGUGCGCCACCCAAUCAGCCAGUCGAUGAUAGAUCCAGGUGGAAAGGCCCAUGUGCUGCAAGGUUUAUGAAUUUAAGAAUUAUAAGAUUGUUUAUUGUUGGAUUUGCUAACAAACUGCCUCUUGUGUUGUUCAUUUUUGCGGGCUCACUGUUUUUGGUUCAGUUUGAAGCGCUCUCUAGGCUUAAAUCAUUCGGGAUAUAGUUGAGUUGUUGAAUCUGAAUGUAUGUAAUCGGUUUCUGCUCGCUGGUCUUAAGAUCUUUCUAGGACAUAGUUGAGUUGUUCAAUCUGAAUGUAUAUAAUCGGUUUCUCAACGGAUGUAUCUAUAUCAAUGAAAAAAAUAGCGCGCUACAGCAAAAUAGCGGCGACCUUAAAAUAUGCUAUUAGUGUGCUAUAUCGCGCUAUAGUGUGCUAUUAGCGAGAUGUUGUACACCGAUAUAUUUAGCGAGGCAAUUCUCAAUACGCUAUAGCGCGCUAUUUUUUCAGUGAUCUAUAUGCAUUUUUUUCAUCAUCAAAAUAUUUUUUCUUACCGGCCUUGUCCUACAUCUAUGAGAUUGAUGAGGAGGUUCUGUUUUUGCAGGUGGCGUAACAUUUGAGUUGCCCGUCCCAGUCCUUAGUUCACAUAUGCUGGUAAAUCUGUUUUGAAAAUUUGACGGAGGAACUAAUUUGUAUUCUUGUUGAUUUAUCUAUUGUGUUGUGUCGUUGAUGUGUGUAUUUUGCUGUGAUUUCUGAGAGUUCAUUUGCUUCCAGGAUGAGUUUAUUUGGCGCAAGGAGACUAGAUGAGUGCAGGGGGGAGAGAUGAGGUAGAUGCGAAAUCCCAACUCUUGCUCGUGCUGCUACGACCGUGGUGUUUCUUAUGUGUAGUUUUUUUGUAGAGGUCUGGGCUCUAACAUAUUCUAUAGAUAUGUGAUGUUUCUUAUGUGCAGUUUUUUUGCAUGUAUUUUAGUGAAAAGAAGUAUGCUUUAGAGAACACAGAGAUAAAAAAUGUCAUAUUCUUUUAUCAAAUAAAGGUCUGGCUCGGUGGCUCCUUAUUUUGCUUGUCGGGACCAAGAUCUCUAGCUAUGAAUGAACUUUCCAGAGUUGUUUUUGUUGGUCUGAAGCAUGGAAAUUUCUUGGUUAACAUCUUUAUAAGCGGCAUAACUCUGCAAACAAAACAGAAUAACUAAAACAUAGCUAAGUCCAUUUUUUCUGCAUGAUCUAUUUUGAUCUCAAAUGCAUUUGAAUGACUCGGCAUUUCCAUUCAAUUUCCUUUUUCCAUUUUUAUCUUCCAUUUAGACAUAUGGGAUAACCAUCAUUUCAUAUUUUUGUCAUGUAUCUUUCAUUUACUUGGAAAUUAAUAAGUAAUAACCAAUGGAUGUUUUUUAACAGCUGCAAGACUACCUGCUAAUAAUUACCGAGAAUUAACCAUCAUAUGUAUCAUUCAUUUUAUUAAUACCAAAUUACCAAAAAAGUGAGGGCAAUAGUUAGACACCAUAAACUGUAUAUGUUACUAUUAAUUGUUCAUCCUUAAUGUUUGAAGUGUUCCACAUGAUUUUUGCUGGUAGAAAGAUUCAAGCAUUUUGGUUUCGUUAGAAAUACAAAAUUUCUUUGUUCAGCCACCCUGCCCAUGGUGGCUUGCUUUACUAAAUUUAUAAUUGAACACUUGAAUAUAUAUUUUCAUCAGUAUGCCCCCUAUCCUAUUUUCUGUGGGUACACAUGAAUGUUUGAUCCAGAUUCUAGGUGCAUCCUUUACUACAACAAUCUCAGGCUAUACUGAAAAGUGUACUGCUUAUAUAGCGAAUAUCUUUAAUUCAUACGCUCGUCUGUUGGAUGCUAUGGUCGCUGGCUUGACGCUCGCUGCUACUGGACGCUCGCUGCUAUUAUUGGUUCAUAAGUUUUGCAGACCUGGUUACUGCAGAUUUUUUUGAGCGAAUGGUUAGUGUAGAGUUAGUUCUUAUGGUUAUUGAAACCAUGCAAAAUGUAGCUUUCCCCUUCCUCUCUGGUCACUUGAAUUUAAAUCUCCUGCAUGUUCAUUUAUGAACUCUGCACCAACACACGUGACCCAUGCAAAAAUUGUUCACUUUUAGAGUCUAGCUCAAAGAAAUUCACUUCUGGAGUGUAACUCAAAAAAGUUCAUGUUGAAGAUUUGUGUUGUUGCUGAAUUAGGGAUUUAAAUUCAAGUUUCCUCGGAUGUCUAUUGCUACUGAAUUAGGGGCUUAAAUUCAACUUUCCUCUGAUUAAUUUAUAUCUAUCUUUUGUACUCUACUGAACAUGUGUGUAUAGUUUCAGAAUUCCUUUUACCACUAAUACUUAUGGGUUGUUCUAGAGGCGAUUUUGCAUCACUCCAUUUUAUAGAUGUUCAUGCAUAAGUAGCAUCAGUUUUUUUCCUAAUGUUGGCUUUUCAUCUGCUAACUGGUGUGUGCCAUGCGGUACGUGCCCAACCUAUGUAUCUCAUUAUGUUAUGAUAACACAGAUGCUCUCCUCUGUAGGCGAAACGACUGGAGAAAGUAAGCAACUCCUUUUAGUGGUGUUCGAAGAUGGUAUUAAGCAUAGCUGGGCUCUGCCAUUCGUGAAAGUACUAUUUCUUUGUAGGCUUUUGAUUCACCACUAUUCUGUAUAAGUUCUAGGCUUUGUUUCCUGAAUAAGAUCAAGAAUUUUGCACUGAAAAUUCAUGCCCGCUGUUCAAAACUCAGUCUAUAUUUUGAAAGAAAUAUCCUUAUUACUUUUUUGCAUCACAAAGGGUUAUAUAUACUGUCAAGAUUCUAAAGUUGUUCUAUAUUGCUGUCGCAUGAGUAUAAAAGCAG